rnacentral:lncRNA from 1 species
GUUUGUUUUGUUUUUGAAACAGGGUUUCUCUGUGUAACAGUCCUGGCUGUCCUGGAACUCUGUAGAUCAAGCUGGCCUGGACCUCACUGAGAUCUGCCUGCCUCUGCUUCCCAAGUGCUGGGAUUAAAGGGAAUUUCACUGACUAGGUUGAAGCCUAAACAAGGAAGCAAGCUUGGCCAUAGAAUGCUUGAUCAGAAGCGGCUGUUUGUUUUAACGAGUAUUUUGGAAACUCUUGGAAGUUGUCUCUCGUGUUUGUCCUGUACAGCCGAUGGGGUGCCUGGCAUCUGAAUUCUCUCCAGCACUUGCCACGUCUUCAUUUGCUGAAAAGAACUCGGAGGGGGUUUUCUGCAUAUCCCCCACCGUUCUGGAACUCACUUGCUCUGUAGACCAGGUUGGCCUCGAACUCAGAAAUCCGACUGCCUCUUCCUGGUGAGCUAAGAUUAAAGGCUUGCACCACCAUGCCCCGCUGAAAGCCUCAUUUUCAAGUAAACGGUUUUGGUGGCAUCCAAAGAAGGAUGGAAGUAAGACCCAAGGGGAGACUUCAGGCAAGUUAUAGGAGAAACCUACGGGAGAGAAUGGGAUGGGGGAAGCAAUGGCUUCCCGGCCAAGGGCCA